rnacentral:tRNA from 1 species
GGGAUUGUGGCUCAGCGGUAGAGUGUUCGCCCUAGCAUGUGUAAGGCCCUGAGUUCGAUCCUCAGCACCA